rnacentral:lncRNA from 1 species
CUACACUUGCGCAUGUGCUCGCUCGACGCCCUCCGAUGGCCUUCGAUUACGUAACAUUCACAAAGAUGACUAUUUUGACCCUUCCUAAUGACCUCCAAUUGAAAACCUUAAAGCAAAAAGGUGUAGGUCUAUUCUUUCUCUUUCCGGAUCAUCUUGAAUCUCCUCAAUCGGAGUUCGUAUGAAAAAGUUAUGGUCGUUUUAGUAAAGCAAGUUCUGUCAGAUUUUUCCUUAGCAGUUGCAGUCAGACCACCCCCAUCGGGGCGGGGGUCUUUCCCUAUAAAUAGCCCGCCGGGGCGGGCAUAGCUACUGUUAACUCACGGAUUCAUGCUCUGCUACAAAAUAACAAGCCAAAAAUCC